rnacentral:rRNA from 1 species
UACAGAGGAUGCAAGCGUUAUCCGGAAUUACUGGGCGUAAAGCGUGCGCAGGCGGUUCGUUGUGUCGGCGGUGAAAGCCCCGGGCUCAACCUGGGAAUGGCCGUUGAAACUGGCGAACUGGAGUGUGGCAGAGGGGGGUGGAAUUCCGCGUGUAGCAGUGAAAUGCGUAGAGAUGCGGAGGAACACCGAUGGCGAAGGCAGCCCCCUGGGCUGACACUGACGCUCAGGCACGAAAGCGUGGGGAGCAAACAGG